GUGUGCUGGGAGGUGGAGCAAAUCAAAAACAACACUCUGGCAUGCUCUCUCUUUCUCUGUUUCGCAGUACCAGUAGCCAUAUGGCUAGACUAGAGCCCGAGUCUCACAGUGAUGCCAGCUCCUGAACAGGUGUGACAAAGUGAAAAUGUAGAGUUUCCGUCAACCUCGCACGCAAUGUAGAUCUCAAAGAACGCCGCGGUUCGCGGGAGAGUAUUGGGUGAAACCAUUCACACCAGGAAAAGGUGUGAUAUAAAUCACGUUUCCUUUUCAUUAUGUGUUGUGUGAAUUAAUACGAAUAUUUGCUGCCAUUGUAGUAAGGCUGGCAAUUCGAGAGGUCUUCGGACGUACCAGUUUUGUAUUAUUUUGUUUGAAAGAACAACUAGUGGGUUGAGUGCUUCUCUCCUAUCUCUCCUCAGUCAGAGGUAUUCCGAGAGCAGGGUUGUCUCCUUCCUUUGUUUAUAAAAAAAAACACGUUUAAAACGGUAUAACACAAUAGUGUCUUUUGAAGAACGGGUUCACAUAUCCCAAAGUCAAUAGCGAAUGAGACUAUUUAUCUUGCCUUUAAUGUAUUUAAGGCGUAUUUCGGCAAGUUAACCCAAGUUCUGGCUGGCUUAGCUAGCCAUGUUAUUGACGAGCUAACUAGCACCGUCGGUCACUGCACUAGAAUGUCACGCUAACGUUAGCUAUUGCUAGCAGUGAACGUGUGGCUGUGACCGUCCAGUCAAUGCCUGUCAUCACUGUUUAACAUCUUUUACUGCAGCAGAUAAAAACCGAGUCAACAUGAAGUGUGGGUGUCCGUGUGCCUUUCGUCUGUGGGGCUAUGUGAAGUAGGUUACACAGAUCCAUCUGGGUAGGAAGAGCACCGUGCCCCAACCCCCUCUUCCUCCAGUGGUUUACUGAGCUACGGGACCAAGCGGCAGAGAGGGGACAGAAGAUGCAGUAUGUUUAUCAGAAGAUAUCUAUCACACACACUCAGGCUAUAAUCACUUACACUAUGUGUAUCAGAAGGUAACUGGCUAGAUAAGCUGGGUUGGAACUAUAAAGCCUUCAUACCCCAGGACACUUGCUACUGGCGUCCCUCAGGGUGUGUAGGCUUUUGUUCCAAACCAGUACUAAAACACACCUGACUCAUUGCUAACAAGAUCAUCAUCUAGUCAUUGACUAGCUGAAUCAGGUGUGUUAGUGCUGGGCUGGCACAAAAGCCUGCCCUGAAGCUAACAGGACAUGUUUUCUGUUGCAUAUCUCUGUCCCUCCCUCUCUCCAUUUUAUUCAUUUAACCUUUUAUUUAACUAGGCAAGUCUGUUAAGAACAAAUUCUUCUUUACAAUGACGGCCUACUAGAGGGAUGUGCGCCGCCCUAUGGGACUCCCAAUCACGGCUGGUUGUGAUACAGCCCAGGAUCGAACCAGGGUCUGUAGUGAUGCCUCUAGCACUGAGAUGCAGUGCCUUAGACCGCUGCGCCACUCGCCAUUCCAUCUCACCAGGCUAUCAGUUCAUUGAAGAAGUUCCCCCUACCCCUUCACAACGCUUGAGAGACAAAGAUUCUACAAAACUUGGGAGAUGGAAUUUGUAAGAUACUGGAUGAGAAGUUACCGAGGCACUACAGAGAAAAUGGUCCGGACACUUCCAUCCACCUCCUCCCUGCUCGUGUGACGGCAGCCCCCCCUAGUUGCCGUAGCAGCAACAACCUGGCUCCGUCCAAACAGCCCUCGAGGGAAGGAGAGAGUAUGUACCCCAGAAGAGGUCUGGAGAAUAUGCUGUCCUACUAACACUGUCAACAGAAAGGCCCAGGUUCCUGGUGGUCAAGAGCUUUAUGUUUAGACUGGAGCAACAGGCUAAGGCCCAGCAUCUGUGUGACAAGUCCUCAUGACAAUAUUCACAAAAACGUUGCUACAUCCUUUCUACAACUUUACGGUUCAGUGUUUUUAUAACACAUUACACUGUCUCUCUCUGCGUACAUGCCCUGGCAGAACACAGCCUGAGACCCCCCCUGCAGCAGGCUGUAGUUAACACACAGGUACACACAGAACAGAGUUCGAUUUGGUGCAACUCAACUUGUACACAUACAUACACACAGGUAUGACCAGUGGUGACCCGUCAUUGAGCCCCACCUGUUUAGCUAAAAUAAAUAAUUAGAAAUAACUGUUUUGCAUGUUAUUUUGGCAUUAAUACGUGACACAUGUCAGUUUGCAA